CAACGCUUGACUUUCAACAAAACAAACUUUAUCCUGCACGUGGUAAGGGUUAUAAUUCUUUGUACAAAUUAAGUGUUUUGUUGUCUAUUUGCGGCCAGGUAAUUCUUUUUCUUAAAUUAGGGUGGGGACAGUAUGUUUAUAAAUUUGCAAUGACCGAUCGAAUUCAGUUCACAUUUGGCCACCGGUCGAUAAGUUCGGCCUCAAAAUUAUAAAUAUGUAACAGUGAAUUUAAUAGUCGGUAACGGUAAAUAAAAUGCAAAAAAUAGUUUGGACAGUUUAGAAUCAGUGAAAAAGUACCGAAACAGUGAAAUAAAAACCGAACCCGGUAAAAUAUUUGCAAUAGAAAUCCUAUACGCUAUGAAAAGAAAUGUUCAACAUGGUCAAGCUGAAAUUUAAUUCGACGGGAAAGUACCAAAAAUGCCAAAAUCUGCAUUUAUUCGCGAAGGCAGUCGAGACCAGGAGGGAGCAGGCCACAAAGCAAACCGAUACAUCUCCAAACGAAAACAGUUUCAACGCGUCGCCAUUACACGUCAGAAAGAAAACAAAAUUGGCGGGAAUUUCAAAAAUGGAACAAUAACCUCUAACUCGGCCACGGACGCCAUUCAGCUAAAAAGACAAAACGAGCAAAUAUUUACUCACGAUCGGACGGCCGACACUUCGGGCCGAAAUUAUUUUACCGAUACGAUACGAGUAUCGAGCAAUCGGUGUCCGAGCGAAUCGAUUCGAAUCGAUUGCCACCUGUUUUGCGAAUUCGAUUUUUGACGGUAAACCAAUUUUGAUUUUGUAAUAUUGUUAAGGGCUUGUUUUUAUAUGUUGAGAUACUAAACCUUUUUUGUUUAAUAGUAAUUGAAGUAUUAGUUUCUGGAUCUAUUUAGAAAUAAUUUUGGGAUGUUCAAAGCUUAAAAGAUUACCAAGAUGAUUUUUAUCCAACAUUUUUGCUAUAUUUUCCCGUUAUUAAACGUAAACGUAACGUAAACGUAAACCAGGUUAUUAAUCCGUUCGAUUAUAAAGAAACGAGCCCUCAAUGAUACCUAUGUAUUGAAAGUAAUUAACUUCUUUGUGUAAAGCAUUUUGUAUGUAUUCGCAGCUGUUUGCAAAACAUACACGAACAUAUUUCGGAUUUCUUUGACUUUAAGCAUAAUUCUCCCUUGUCAUAUAUCGGUGAUAUUAUUACAAAGAUGGUAUUUUUCGGCCAUUCUAAGUAAUCAUUUUUAUGACUUUGAAUAACGUCUCUUUUCAGUUCUUUUUUGUCAGUCAAAAUAACAACAUAAUUUCAAUUUCGUUUUAAAUUGAUCUGAGCAACACAUACUCUGCUUCGAAUUAAAAAAUUAAUAAUUAAGGCCUAUAUACUGCAAAGUAUUAACCAACAUUGUGCCAUAACAUCAUCUCUAUAAAUAUUAUAUUAAAAAUAGUGUCAUUUGUCAUAAUUUAAAUCACGUAUGUUAGGCGAUAAUACGGACUUACUAUUUUCGGAAUGUAUCGUUCUGAAUAUGCUCUUAAAAUUAUAUUCCCAGACACAAAACGAAUUCUAAACCACAACUUUGACAAACAUUGAAAACAAUUGAAACAGUAAUAUUUUAAAACUACACAAAUAUUUAUAUUGUACUAGUUCACAAAGCAGCUGGCAAUAACCAAACACGGAUCACUUACCGAUAUUGAUUUCAACCAAUUUCAAAUCGAUAAACAAUCAA